CCUACGGGUAGCAGCAGUGAGGAAUAUUGGUCAAUGGACGAGAGUCUGAACCAGCCAAGUAGCGUGAAGGAUGACUGCCCUAUGGGUUGUAAACUUCUUUUAUAAAGGAAUAAAACGAGGCACGUGUGCCUUUUUGCAUGUACUUUAUGAAUAAGGAACGGCUAACUCCGUGUCAGAAGCCGCGGUAAUACGGAGGAUCCGAGCGUUAUCCGGAUUUAUUGGGUGUAAAGGGAGCGUAGAUGGGUUGUUAAGUCAGUUGUGAAAGUUUGCGGCUCAACCGUAAAAUUGCAAUUGAUACUGGCAGUCGUGAGUACAGUUGAGGUAGGCGGAAUUCGUGGUGUAGCGGUGAAAUGCUUAGAUAUCACGAAGAACCCCGAUUGCGAAGGCAGCUUACUAAACUGUGACUGACAUUGAUGCUCGAAAGUGUGGGUAUCAAACAGGAUUAGAUACCCUGGUAGUC
rnacentral:rRNA from 1 species